rnacentral:rRNA from 1 species
CCUACGGGUGGCAGCAGUGAGGAAUAUUGGUCAAUGGCCGGAAGGCUGAACCAGCCAUGCCGCGUGAAGGUCAGUGCCCUAUGGGCGUUAAACUACUUUUGUGCGGGAGCAAUAUUGGUCAGGUGUGGCCAUAGGAGAGUACCGUACGAGUAAGCAUCGGCUAACGCCGUGCCAGCAGCAGCGGUAAUACGGGGGGUGCAAGAGUUAUCCCGUAUUGAUGGGUUUUAAGGGUGAGUAGGCUGUGAGGUAAGUUUGCGGUGAAAUGCCCCUGCUCAACGGGGUGAAGUGACAUUGAUACUGGCUUGCUGGAAUGCGGAUGACGUGGGAAGAAUGUGUGGUGUAGCGGUGAAAUGCAUAGAGAU